rnacentral:misc_RNA from 1 species
GGACUACUAGGGUAUCUAAUCCUGUUUGCUCCCCACGCUUUCGCAUCUGAGUGUCAGUAUCUGUCCAGGGGGCCGCCUUCGCCACCGGUAUUCCUUCAGAUCUCUACGCAUUUCACCGCUACACCUGAAAUUCUACCCCCCUCUACAGUACUCUAGUUUGCCAGUUUCAAAUGCAAUUCCGAGGUUGAGCCCCGGGCUUUCACAUCUGACUUAACAAACCACCUGCAUGCGCUUUACGCCCAGUAAUUCCGAUUAACGCUCGCACCCUCCGUAUUACCGCGGCUGCUGGCACC